GCUACGCUGGAACUCAUGGCAACCCUCCUCCCUCAUCCUCCCCCGUACUCCGGUGGCCCGUGUGAGGCACCACGCCCUAUUUUUCUGGAAUCUCUGCUCCAGAAUCCAGACCUCGGACUUUGGGCCGGGAAGAAGGGAUCUGGUGGCCUGGGAGGGCCUCUCGAGAUGGAAGCCAGACAUGGUGGCACAUGCCUUUAAUCCCAGCACUUGGGAGGCAGAGUCCAGAGGAUCUCUGAGCUCAAGGCCAGCCUGGUCUACAGAGUGAGUUCCUGUGACAAGGAAAGAAACUGUGGUGUCCUGAGUCCUGACUGUCAUCUUUGAAGGCAGAAGGUAGAUGAU
rnacentral:lncRNA from 1 species